rnacentral:rRNA from 1 species
UACGUAGGGCGCAAGCGUUGUCCGGAAUUAUUGGGCGUAAAGAGCGCGCAGGCGGUCUAUCAAGUCAGAUGUGAAAUAUCCGGGCUUAACCCGGAGGGGUCAUUUGAAACUGGUAGACUAGAGUACAGCAGAGGAUAGCGGAAUUCCCGGUGUAGUGGUGAAAUGCGUAGAUAUCGGGAGGAACACCAGUGGCGAAGGCGGCUAUCUGGGCUGAAACUGACGCUGAGGCGCGAAGGCUAGGGGAGCAAACAGG